GGGGGCAACCCCUUGAGAGUGGCGAACGGGUGAGUAAUGUAUCGGAACGUGCCCAGUCGUGGGGGAUAACGUAGUGAAAAUUACGCUAAUACCGCAUACGAUCUAUGGAUGAAAGCGGGGGAUCGCAAAACCUCGCGCGAUUGGAGCGGCCGAUAUCAGAUUAGGUAGUUGGUGGGGUAAAGGCUCACCAAGCCAACGAUCUGUAGCUGGUCUGAGAGGACGACCAGCCACACUGGAACUGAGACACGGUCCAGACUCCUACGGGAGGCAGCAGUGGGGAAUUUUGGACAAUGGACGCAAGUCUGAUCCAGCCAUUCCGCGUGCAGGACGAAGGCCUUCGGGUUGUAAACUGCUUUUGUACGGAACGAAAAAGCUCUUAUUAAUACUAGGAGUCCAUGACGGUACCGUAAGAAUAAGCACCGGCUAACUACGUGCCAGCAGCCGCGGUAAUACGUAGGGUGCAAGCGUUAAUCGGAAUUACUGGGCGUAAAGCGUGCGCAGGCGGUUAUAUAAGACAGAUGUGAAAUCCCCGAGCUUAACUUGGGAACUGCAUUUGUGACUGUAUAGCUAGAGUACGGCAGAGGGGGAUGGAAUUCCGCGUGUAGCAGUGAAAUGCGUAGAUAUGCGGAGGAACACCGAUGGCGAAGGCAAUCCCCUGGGCCUGUACUGACGCUCAUGCACGAAAGCGUGGGGAGCAAACAGGAUUAGAUACCCUGGUAGUCCACGCCCUAAACGAUGUCAACUGGUUGUUGGGUCUUCACUGACUCAGUAACGAAGCUAACGCGUGAAGUUGACCGCCUGGGGAGUACGGCCGCAAGGGUUGAACUCAAAGGAAUUGACGGGGACCCGCACACAGCGUGGAUGAUGUGGUUUAAUUCGAUGCAACGCGAAAAACCUUACCACCUUUGACAUGUA
rnacentral:rRNA from 1 species